UAGGGAAUCUUCCGCAAUGGACGAAAGUCUGACGGAGCAACGCCGCGUGAGUGAAGAAGGAUUUCGGUUCGUAAAACUCUGUUGUUAGGGAAGAAAAAAUGUAUAGUAACUAUAUACAAAAGAGACGGUACCUAACCAGAAAGCCACGGCUAACUACGUGCCAGCAGCCGCGGUAAUACGUAGGUGGCAAGCGUUGUCCGGAAUUACUGGGCGUAAAGAGCUCGUAGGCGGUUUGUCACGUCGUCUGUGAAAUCCUAGGGCUUAACCCUGGACGUGCAGGCGAUACGGGCUGACUUGAGUACUACAGGGGAGACUGGAAUUUCUGGUGUAGCGGUGGAAUGCACAGAUAUCAGGAAGAACACCGAUGGCGAAGGCAGGUCUCUGGGUAGUAACUGACGCUGAGGAGCGAAAGCAUGGGUAGCGAACAGG
rnacentral:rRNA from 1 species